rnacentral:ncRNA from 1 species
GAACUGACGGGAGGCUCUGACACGCGGUCCAUACGCCGGCCGCCGCGACCGCGCCGAGCCACUGGCGAGACCGACCCGCGCUC